rnacentral:tRNA from 1 species
GGGGAUGUAGCUCAGUGGUAGAGCGUUUGCCUUGUAUACAUGAGGACUUGAGUUCCAUCCCCA